rnacentral:rRNA from 1 species
UGGGGAAUUUUGCGCAAUGGGCGAAAGCCUGACGCAGCAACGCCGCGUGCGGGAUGAAGGCCUUCGGGUUGUAAACCGCUUUCAGCAGGGAUGAAAUUGACAGUACCUGCAGAAGAAGCCCCGGCUAACUACGUGCCAGCAGCCGCGGUAAUACGUAGGGGGCAAGCGUUAUCCGGAUUCAUUGGGCGUAAAGAGCGCGUAGGCGGAUUGUUAAGUCAGAUGUGAAAACUGGGGGCUCAACCCGCAGCCUGCAUCUGAAACUGGCAGUCUUGAGUCUGGUAGAGGAAAGUGGAAUUCCCAGUGUAGCGGUGAAAUGCGCAGAUAUUGGGAGGAACACCAGUGGCGAAGGCGGCUUUCUGGGCCACGACUGACGCUGAGGCGCGAAAGCUAGGGGAGCGAACA